AUACGUAGGUGACAAGCGUUAUCCGGAUUUACUGGGCGUAAAGGGCGUGUAGGCGGUCUUGCAAGUCAGAAGUGAAAUUCCUGAGCUCAACUCGGGCGCUGCUUCUGAAACUGCAGGACUUGAGUGCUGGAGGGGAUAGCGGAAUUCCUAGUGGAGCGGUAAAAUGCGCAGAUAUUAGGAAGAACACCGGAGGCGAAGGCGACUUUCUGGACCAAAACUGACGCUGAUGUGCGAAAGCUUGGGUAGGGAACGGGAGUAGAUACCCCGGGAGGCCUAGCCGUAAACGAUGGAUACUAGGUGUGGGUGUCGCAGGGCAUCCGUGCCGCAGCUAACGCGUUAAGUAUCCCGCCUGGGGACUACGGUCGCAAGACUGAAACUCAAAUGAAUUGACGGGG
rnacentral:rRNA from 1 species